GCAGUGGCUCGGUCUGUCGCUGGCGGUGAAAUCCGCGAGAGGAAAGUCCGGGCAGCAUAGGGCUCUCCACUUCUGAAAAUGGAAGCUGUCGGCGACGGCAGGCUCAGGCAGAAGAGAACGACCGCCCCCACACGCGGGGGUAAGGGUGAGAAGGUGGUGUAAGAGACCACCAGCCAGUGGGUGAUCACUGGGCUGUGCCGGCUGGAGGCUGCAAGUUCGCGUAUACCGUCGUCUGAGGGCUGCCCGCCCGAUGCCAAGGCAACGACGGAGGGUAGAACGCUAGAGCCGCGAGGUGACCCGCGGAGUAGAUAAAUGACAGACACGCCACGCAAAACUGCAUGGCGCACAGAACCCGGCUUACAGAGCCACUGCCUGC
rnacentral:RNase_P_RNA from 1 species